GAUGAACGCUGGCGGCGUGCCUAAUACAUGCAAGUCGAGCGAAUGGAUUAAGAGCUUGCUCUUAUGAAGUUAGCGGCGGACGGGUGAGUAACACGUGGGUAACCUGCCCAUAAGACUGGGAUAACUCCGGGAAACCGGGGCUAAUACCGGAUAACAUUUUGAACCGCAUGGUUCGAAAUUGAAAGGCGGCUUCGGCUGUCACUUAUGGAUGGACCCGCGUCGCAUUAGCUAGUUGGUGAGGUAACGGCUCACCAAGGCAACGAUGCGUAGCCCACCUGAGAGGGUGGUCGGCCACACUGGGACUGAGACACGGCACAGACACCUACGGGAGGCAGCAGUAGGGAAUCUUCCGCAAGGGACGAAAGUCUGACGGAGCAACGCCGCGUGAGUGAUGAAGGCUUUCGGGUCGUAAAACUCUGUUGUUAGGGAAGAACAAGUGCUAGUUGAAUAAGCUGGCACCUUGACGGUACCUAACCAGAAAGCCACGGCUAACUACGUGCCAGCCGCCGCAGUAA
rnacentral:rRNA from 1 species